CUGGCUUCCCAGUCUAUGAUUCACAGGUGUGUGAUUCAGCAGGUGUAUAGAGCGAGUGGAAAAAUGAGGCACCUCUUGGCUCAUGGAGCCUCUCUCAGGAGUAAAGCCAUGGAUGCAGCAAGUGCUAUGAGAAUAGAUCCCUCGGGACAGGAUGAUGACAGAGUAUGUGAAGCCAGAGUCUCUCAGCUCUGUCAUUCAAUUGCCCGCACUUUUAGUAGUUGUCAGCAGGAGAAAUUUGUCCAAAUAAUCUAGUCAACCUUUACCAAACUGGAAAUCAUGAUAUUUCUUCAAGAACACUCAUCAGCCCAGCUACCCCACCCUGACUGUGCUCAGACUCUCAGCUGCUCGUCUGGAGAAACUUUUACAAGAAGGUCUUCCUGGACAGCAGACUCUUCUUCGAAGGAUAACACCUACUAACGUACUGUUAGCAUCCCUACUCUGCUGUGAUGAUAAUGGGAAUCUCUCUUCUGCUUUAUUUUAAAAAGCAAAGGAAAUAAAACAUGU